AGCCAUCUCUCCAGCCCCGAGGCUUUUAAGAGUUCACAGGGCGGCUCCUUUACAACUGUGCACUUAGUUUCCAGGAGAGCCAGAGGGACCCUGCAGGAGCUGCCUUUUCUCUCUCAGGAUGAGGAGCAGAGUUGAAGCCCAUGCCGAGAGUCAAGGCUGCAAGAUCAAAGAUCAGAGGGUUGUCCACUCAGCCUGGUUACCAAUGACAAAGAAAGCGCUCAGAGAAACCUCUGGACUUGUGAAAGGACACAGACCCCCUUAGAAACAAGGUGACCUGACCGCAGAGGCCCCAGCUCCGGGUAUAUCAAUCUGCUUCCUUCGUAUAAAUCAUGCCUUCUUUAUUUACCCAGGAUGGAAGAAAUGUCCAUUUACCAGUUUUGUUUCAUUUUGGUUUGGUUUUCCUGUACCUUCCUGG